UCUUUGGCUUGUCUUUCCCAGAAGAUGAGGAGCAGGUAUGAACCAGCACUCUCCCCCAAGACACAUGUCUCUCUAUUCAUGGGAGGAGUAGAGCAGACUCACAUUUGUCGUUGAUGACACAUGGCAUACGGAGUUGGCCCUUUAUGUAUAUUGCCUCUUUGAAUCCUUAGGUGAUUAACUCGUGGAAAUCAACAGCUCCAGGGCCAGCUACCAUUGGAGGGGACAGUCAGGCCUAGCUCUUAGAAACCUGGUGACACUUAGGAAGUUUGACUGCAAAGCCUCCCCUGCUCUCUGGCUCUCUGAGACCCACCUCAGCCCUGUGGGCCAAGCACCCAUGUAUCUCUCCUAUCAGGAGAAAAUAAAGUGUCUGGUGAAGUUAUUCACUCCAGGUGUUAGGAACUUAAUGCAUAAUACCUCCCAGGAGAAUGUGUAUUUCUCAGGACAGCCAGAGAGUGGGUGGUACUGAACCAAAAGAGUGAAUCACUAAUAGUGGAAUCCCAGGCAUUUGAGGAGGUCAUAUUUCUUGGGUGGGUUCCUUCCUGACAUUGUUUAUAUUAUAUAAAGUUGACAGCCACCUAUUGUCCCCCUAAAGGAGAUUGUCCCUAUGGGUGCGGUGAUGAUGAGGAAAGAGAAGAACAUUCAGGCUGGAGCCAGGGUGGUCUGAUUUUCAAAAACAAAUCUGUCCCUUAGAAUGAGAGGUGGCUUAAACACUCACACAGCCUCCCCAAGCGUGGUGAAGAGAUCCUGUCUCCCCUCUGUAACCAGGUUCUCUUCACCUGGAACGUGGUGCUGUCAUUAUGCAAUGUCCCUGUUGGCAGAGGUGUUUGGGCCCCUUGUUUUCAAGUCUGUGCCAUUUCCAAGAAGGAGCUGUGGCCUUUGAGUAGGACUGAGCUACUGAAUAGCAGCCCCAGUGCCAAGUGAAGGAGCCAAGAAGAGGCAGAGAAGAGAAAGUCACGACUGUCACACAAAGAUGAGACAGCCGCCCCCCAUGGUAGCUGGAUGGCAGUCCUGUUGUCCUGCAGCGGCCUUGGGGGCAGAAUGGGGUCAAAGUCGGGCUGCGGGCAGAAAGAAGCCAGGCCAGGCCAAGCAAGAGAGAAGGGCAAAGCCCCUGGGUGGUAGGAUGUGAGAAAAGUUACUUUCGUCAGGAGGGUAUCACUCUACAUUCAAAUCCAGCGCCCCAUGAAUUUAUAAAAGCCAGGCUCAAGGAAAAGUUUUUCCUAUUAGACUUAGUCACAUCAUCAAUAACAAUAAUCACUGUUACUAUUUCUUAAGUGUUUAAUCCAAAGCCAGUAUGGAAGUUAUCGAUUGAAGUCCUGACGAAGGUCUAAUCCGCUCACCCAGCAUGUAUUUAUUGAGUUUCUACUUAAGUCAGGCACUACCCUAGGCACUUAGGGCAGACCAAAGGCUAGGACAGACAAAACCCUGGUCCCGGCGGCAGGGCCACCACAUGCAAUUAACAACACAUCACUCUAGGGGGCACCGUAUGAUGCCUGGGCUACUUUGUGUAUUGAGCAGCCUGGCGGCCCCUGUCUGCGGUGCUCUCAUUCUAGCAGAUGUAAUCGAAUACCAACAAGGUGGGCGAAAUUCUCCUAUUACAGUUUGAGACACAGAGGGCUAAGUAACUUGCUGAGUUUUUCAGCCCCAAAGGACUGAGCCACAAUUUAUACCUAAAGACCUUGCAGUCCACCUGUGCCACGUAUGUGCCAUUCUCUCCCUGGUGGGUGUAGAGAUGAAGGUGUAGACAGGCUCAUAGAGGCAGAGCUGGGUUGGUUGGCCCAGUAGCAGUACUGUGUCCUGACUGGAUAGACUGGAACCAGCUCAGCGGUAACAGAGAAUCUCUUGGGGAAGGCUGACUUAACUAUAGGAAGGUUUGAUAACAUCAGCUGCCUUCAUAGUAAGGGUGGGGGGACUGGCCUUUUUAUUUUUAUCAGCUGGGGACUUAUGUGGAAAGGUCCAUCCCUGGGUAGACCUUGCUGUCUUGCAGGGCCAGAGGCAGCUAUUGAUUCUUGCACGUAUUUAUCGUUUAUGAAAUAUCCUAGUUAUAUUGGCAGAGAAGUUGGUCCAGGUUUGUAAGGGUAGGCUCCAAACUCCUCUGGUUGAGAAUGGAGUAGGACAGGUGCCCUUGGACAGGUUUCCUGAAUAAAGUGAGCAUGUGCAGCGAGAACGGAGAAGGUGCUCUCCUCUGAUGAGCUCAUUCUGCUAGGGUUGGAUCUAGUUUUCAGCGAACAGCAUGAGUCUUGCCUUUGGACCAGACUCUGUGCUACCCCAGUCAUGAAAGGAGGACAGCCACAUCUACGUUCUUCUGCCUUUUGUCCAAGCUUCUGUCUUGAAGGAAGAAAGAUGGCCUCUGGUUGUCGUCCCCUCCUCUUCUGCUGGGUAUCCCUUCUCCCACCUUCAGGUGCACCAGUGUGUGGCUUCUGAGCCAACCUUCUGAGACCUGAACUGGGCCGCCAGAGAUCUAAUGGCUGCUGCUUUGGCGUGGCAACCCUUGAGACUUGACACAGUUUUUCGUUAGCCCCCUGGAGAAAUGGAGAGGCUAAAGCAAUAGAGGACAGAAGGUUAUUUGGUGCCGGAGACUGGGAAAAGGGGAAAGGUAGAGGGAAGCUCGGUGUCCUAAAAACAAAUUUCACCCCCUCUCCGUUUUACCUAAGACGGGUGUUGCCUAGACAGCGUAAGUUCUGUAAAAGUGAUUUUCGUGAUGGUUUGGGCCAGGGGUGACAAACGUCUGGCACAUUUGCUGUCAUCUGUCUUCUCCCCACACCUUCUCCUGGCCACUGGGAUGGUAGUUUCAGACCCUUCUCAUUUUUUUUUUUAAUAUAUGAAAUGUAUUGUCUUCAGACCCUUCUCAAAUCAGCAUUCCAUGCAGGCUCCAUCCAUCAUAGUUGGCCUUUGAGAUGAAGUCCCCUCCUUGUGCCUGUUUAGAGGCCUUUUGCUGUGAGUUCUUUAUGGUAGCUUUUUCCUGAGGUAUCUUCUCUUAUUGUUGUGUCUUUCGCAGAACCUGGAAAGUCCGAACACAAUUUGGUGUUGACUCACAGAAUGUUCUCUGAAUCGAUGACCUUCGGUGUGUGCCAAAGCUGACUGAUUCACUGGUCUCUUCCCCCAACCAAGCUGGUUCUCUGGGCUCGGCAGGAGUCCUGACUGAGACCUCUCCUUACUCCAUAUUCUCUUUAUUACUAAUGAGGCGUGGUUCCUUAAUUACUAGGUGCUGGAUACCAGAAUUGAUUUCCUUUGUUUCAGUGAAUUUAGGAAAAGACUUAUGAAUAUUUCUUGCGCUUGACAUGAACUGCUUGAUUUUUUUUUUUUUUUUCCGGCCUGCAAAGGUCACUGAAGGGAGACAAGGCAAAGUGACGCCUAGAGCAUCAACAAGUAUGAAAU
rnacentral:lncRNA from 1 species